GACGAACGCUGGCGGCGUGCUUAACACAUGCAAGUCGAACGGAAGGGCCUUGCUUUGUGGGGUGGCCCGGUGGGCAAAGGGGGGGGAAACCGGGGAGUACCUUGCCUUGGAUUUUGGGAUAAUUUCAGAAAACGGGGGCUAAACCCGGAUAGGAGCUCCGGCUCAAGGGUGGGGGUGGGAAAGUUCGGCGGUUGGGGAUGGACUCGGGGCUUAUCAGCUUGUUGGUGGGGUAGUGGCUUACCAAGGCUUUGACGGGUAGCCGGCCUGAGAGGGUGACCGGCCACAUUGGGACUGAGAUACGGCCCAGACUCCUACGGGAGGCAGCAGUGGGGAAUAUUGCACAAUGGGCGGAAGCCUGAUGCAGCAACGCCGCGUGCGGGAUGACGGCCUUCGGGUUGUAAACCGCUUUCGCCUGUGACGAAGCGUGAGUGACGGUAAUGGGUAAAGAAGCACCGGCUAACUACGUG
rnacentral:rRNA from 1 species